AUGUGUAGGAUAGGUGGGAGGCUUUGAAGUGUGGACGCCAGUCUGCAUGGAGCCGACCUUGAAAUACCACCCUUUAAUGUUUGAUGUUCUAACGUGGACCCGUAAUCCGGGUUGCGGACAGUGUCUGGUGGGUAGUUUGACUGGGGCGGUCUCCUCCUAAAGAGUAACGGAGGAGCACGAAGGUUGGCUAAUCCUGGUCGGACAUCAGGAGGUUAGUGCAAUGGCAUAAGCCAGCUUGACUGCGAGCGUGACGGCGCGAGCAGGUGCGAAAGCAGGUCAUAGUGAUCCGGUGGUUCUGAAUGGAAGGGCCAUCGCUCAACGGAUAAAAGGUACUCCGGGGAUAACAGGCUGAUACCGCCCAAGAGUUCAUAUCGACGGCGGUGUUUGGCACCUCGAUGUCGGCUCAUCACAUCCUGGGGCUGAAGUAGGUCCCAAGGGUAUGGCUGUUCGCCAUUUAAAGUGGUACGCGAGCUGGGUUUAGAACGUCGUGAGACAGUUCGGUCCCUAUCUGCCGUGGGCGCUGGAGAACUGAGGGGGGCUGCUCCUAGUACGAGAGGACCGGAGUGGACGCAUCACUGGUGUUCGGGUUGUCAUGCCAAUGGCACUGCCCGGUAGCUAAAUGCGGAAGAGAUAAGUGCUGAAAGCAUCUAAGCACGAAACUUGCCCCGA
rnacentral:rRNA from 1 species